CUGGGAUUACAGGCUUGAGCCACCGCGCCCGGCGGAAUGCACUUUUUAAAAAGAGACCCCAGAACGGGAGCGGUGGCUCACGCCUGUAAUCCCAGC
rnacentral:miRNA from 1 species